rnacentral:lncRNA from 1 species
CAGCUCUAUGCUAACUUGCGUGAGACAUCUGUGCACAAUCCAUCCAGCUGUGAUUAAAUUCCUGGUUUCAGUGUUUGUGUGUGUGUGUUUCAAUUCAAAAAUUAAAGGCAAAUUCCUGUGGAAAGAGAUACUUGGAAAACGUCUGCAAAUCUCUCACCUUGAGAGUAACCUGUGCUGAGCUGGCUGUACUUGCAGGACUCCAUAGACUAAGAAACAAAAGAAGCUAAAAACGCUGGACAUUUUAUAUGAAACAAGCAUAAGAAGACUCCAAAAGGUAGAGACAAGGCAGAAUUGCUGGGGAACUUGAGACCAAAGGAACAACACAUUGGUCAGUCUGAUAUCCACCACCCAGUUCUCCAGGUGGAAGAAUAAUCAAAGAGCCUUGGGGGAAAGAGGGAUUCUCAUGGUUGAAGAUGAUGAAGAUGUGAAGGCUGGAUUUGAUAAUGAAGAGUCUUCUUUGUGUUCUCUCAUUAUUUAUGCCACAUCUGCCUCUCAGCAUUUGUGUCAAUGAGUCACUGUAAUUACAGCCGUUGGAUAAUUUCCUCCGUUUUACAACACAAACCCGACUGUGUGAGUGCUCCAUCAGAGAAAAACAUUUAUUUCCUUGCAGCACCAUCAGGCAGCAAGGUCCAGCUUU